rnacentral:lncRNA from 1 species
GGAAGGCUCUGAUACCAUGUUAAAUUUGGGCUAGGCUUAACUCACUCCAAAAGCUAGCUCAAGGGGGAGGAGUGCCUAUGGCCUAUAUAAGGGGCACAUUACCCCUUUCCACAACCGAUGUGGGAUUCAACAGAGGAGAAUAGAAGAAAGAACUGGAAAUCAACAAAAGAAGAAGAAAAUAUGAGUUGAAUUCAAGAUAUAAAUGAUGGAAAGAAAUUUCAGGGAAACUAAAAGGGCAAAAGAAAAGAAAUUUCUGGGAAAGAAGGAAGAAGAAAUAGUGGAAACUGAGAAGAAGAAAAGAAGGAACUGAAGUAAGAAAGAAAAGAAAUUUCAGGUAAAAGAAAGAAGAAUUUAGAGGAAAGAAGAAUUUAGAGGGAAGAAGGAAGAGAGUAGAGAAGAAAGAAACCUGAUUCCUGAUUCCUGAAUGGAUCUCAAGCCCUCUUGAAGGUUAGCUCUGAUACCAAUUUGUUAUGUAUUAGAUCUGAAUAGCCUUGUGAAACAGAGAAUUAGGCAGAGAAAAAAAUAGCAAGAGACUUGGUUUAUAAAAGUAAUAGAAAUGGGUGAAAUUAAGAGAAUUAGUGAGAAGAGAUGGUAGAAGAGAGAAAGGAGAUUGUUAUAUGUUAUAGGAAUAGAGGAAAUAAGUCACAGAAGAAAUAAUAAGUCACAGAACUAGAGGAAAUAACAGAUUGUUCCAGAGGAAUAAUAGAUUGUAUUUGAAUGUAAAUUGGAGGGUAAAGUGGUUAGGAGGCUGUUAGCCAAGAUAUUCAGUAUAAAAGUGAGAGAGAAGACGCUUGUAAGGCAUCAGAAGAAUUAUUCAAUAAAGAAUAUCUCUCCUCUCCCUCUCAUUCUGAUUCUCAUCUCUCUCUCUUCUCUCUUUCUCAUCCCCUUUCUUUCAGAAUGGUUUCUCAUCUCCAUUCUUUCUCUAGCUAAAGCUCGCAAUUGGUAUCAGAGCAAGGUUUGAAUUGGACAACAGUACAGAAGUGACACACUAGACUCGUGAGAAUAACAAGAUUGACGGCGGACGCACAGAACUCUGAAUCUGCAAGAAUUUCAGAAUUGAAGGACCAGAUGCAGGCCCUACAGGAGGAGUCGAAGAGAGAGAUAUGAGAUUUUCUCUAGCGAAGAUGAAUAAGAAAGAAUUGACUCUGAAGAUUGAAGAAGAGUCGAGAAGGAUUAAAGAUGAGCUUGCAUUGAAAAUCCAAGAUUCAAUGAACCAAAUCUUGGUAGCCUUGCAAAGCGUGGGAAAGGCGAAGGGAAUUUAUAAUGGAGUCAACGAAGAGGUUGGACAGUCCGCCGGACACUCCGCUGCUUCCAUAGGAGGACGGGGAUGGUUAGAUACUCCACCUGGAGGAAACAGCAAUCCACAGAUGCAAUUAAAAGGCCAGUGAGUUGGAAGUGCUGGAUCUAAUGAGGUGGAAGGUAUGUCUAAAAUUCUCCCCAAGAUCAAGUUGAUUACGUUUGAUGGCAAUGCACCUAGAGCUUGGAUAAGAAAAUGCAUCAAAUACUUUGAAGUAUAGGAGGAUAAGAAAAUGAAUCUUGCAAGCCUUUUUUUAAUUGAUAAGGUUGAUUCUUGGUACCACAAUUGGAUCAAGAAUGAAGGAAAACAUGAGUGGGAAGACUUUGAAAAGGAUCUUUGUGAAAGAUGUAGAGGAAAUUAUGAAGUUGAGACAAAUAGGGACGGUGGAAGAAUACCAAAGCGAGUUUGAAGAUGUACGGGUUAGAUUGGAAAGAUUCAUGCCUAACCUUGGAGAGACAUACUUUCUCUCAGGGUUCGUAGGUGGAUUGAAGGUUGAUAUUAGACCCAUGGUGCGAAUGAUGAAGCCCUCCUCCUUGCCUCAAGCCUUCCAAGUGGCCAAGUUCCAAGAAUAGCUCAUUAACUGUGGCAAGAAGAAUCCAUCUGAUGCCAGGAAUAACUAUUUAGUUUUAAAAACAACAACUCUUCAUUCCCAAACACUUAUAAGCCAUCACUGUCCAACCAAUAUUAUCCCUUCCUCCAUAAAAACACCAACCCUGAUCAGAAAUUCACUUCAGUAGCCCCAGCUAAUAACCAGGGCACCACUGUGAGCUCUCACAAUCAGUGAACUGCCAGCAGCACCAAUCAAAAUUAUGUAAGAACCACUAGACCCUGUUUCAAGUGUGGGGAGAAGUACUUUCUUGGCCGGAGAAAUCAUUAAUGACUGUGCAAGGGCAAGAUGAAGAAGGAGAAGAAUUGUGGCAUGAUGUAGCUGAGGAAGAAACACCUGAUACACAGGAGGAAGUCACUCUGUCAGUACAUGCAAUGGAAGGGAAGUUUGGGGCAGAAACAGUGAGAGUAAUAGAAAGGCAUAAAAACAGGAAGCUAAUCAUUUUGAUAGACAGUGGAAGCACACAUAGUUUCAUGGAUACUAGAGUAGCUGAGGAAUUAAAGAUACCUGUGGUGGAAAUCGCUGCAAUGCCUGUGACAGUAGCUGAUGGAAGGAAGACUUUCAGCAACUCCAUGACUCCUGCUUUUAAAUGGAAAAUUCACCAACAUGCCUUCAUGUUUAACUUUAGACUGUUAGAGAUGGGCAGCUUUGAUGUGAUCCUUAGGGUCGAUUGGAUGACGUCUUUCAAUCCAAUCCUGUUUGAUUUUGAAGAUUCCUCAGUCAGCUUCAAGUAUCAAGGGAAGGAGAUCACAAUGCGAGUAGUUAAAGGAGUGAUGCCAUUCACCAAACUGCUGCAGUGUCAUGGCCUGUAAGAAUUUAUGCAUAAACAAGGAGAAGAUUUCUAGACACCAAUAUUCUGUAUACAGUUGCAAGAAGGACAAAAUGUUACUAACAAUAAAGUCACAAAAGAAGACACAUACAAUGAUCAGCCAAGACUGCGGAUCCUGCUUCAGAAAUAUAAGUGCAUUUUUGAAUAUAGGUACCCUCACUUCAAAAAGGCAAAUUGAAAAACAGGUGGAGGAAAUGCUGAGAUCCGAAGUUAUACAACCCAGCACCUGUCCUUAUGCCUCACCAGUAUUGCUAGUAAAGAAAAAGGAUGGAAUAUGGAGGUUUUGCAUUGACUUCAAGAGGCUGAAUGAUCUCACUAUAAAAGAUAGGUUUCCCAUUCCAAUAAUUGAUGAUCUUUUGGAUGAACUACAUGGAGCAACAAUAUUUUCAAGAAGACCUGAAGGUAGUGAGGAGCUGUUAAUGGCACUACAGUCCAUAGUUCAACCCUCUUGGUAUCUUAGUUGCUGGCCAGUUAUGAAGGGGAUCUGUAUGCUGCUGAAUUGAUCACUCAGUUAGCUAUUGAUCUCAAUAGCCAUUCUAGUUUGAAGAUAAAAUAAGGAGUGUUGUACCACAGAAACGGGCUGUAUGUUGGGUCUAAGGGAACAUUGAGACAAGAAUUGUUGAGACUAUAUCAUAAUUCCUAGCAGGGAGGGCACUCUAGGUCUAGUAUUAAUGCCACUUAUGUAAGACUGAGCAGACACUUCUAUUGGCCUGCCAUGAUCAACACAGUGACAGAAUGGAUUAGAGCGUGUGAAGUCUGUGCUAGAUGCAAGGUAGAACAUGUUGCUUCUCCAGGGUUACUUCAACCUCUACCCAUCCCUACUCAAGCAUGACAACACAUCACAAUGGACUUUGUUGAACAGCUGCCUAAGUCAAAAGGUAAAAAAGCUAUUCUAGUGGGGAUUUGCAGAUUCACGAAGUAUGCACACUUCCUACUCCUACAACAUCCAUUUUCAGCCAAAACUAUUACAAAGUUGUUCUUAGAGUCAAUAACUAAACUUCAUGGAGAGCCACAGUCCAUUGUAUGAGACAGGGACAUGAUCUUCACAAGUCUCUUUUGGAAGAAUCUUUUCAAGACGUUAACUAAGCUGGCCUUUAGCACUGCCUAGCACCCCCAAUCAAAUGGCGAACGAAAAGACUGAAUCAAAGGUUAGAAGGUUAUUUGAGAUGCCUCUGUUUCUAGCAACCAUGCUCUUGGAGUAAAUGGCUAUCCCUGCAAGAGUGGUGGUACAAUAUUAGCCACCACAGUGCCAUUAAAAUGGCACUAUUUCAAGCAUUAUGAGGCUACCCCCCACCUCUACUCACAUUCCAUCACUCUGAGAAAUGCUCAGUGGAGACAGUAACUCAAUUUCUACAGAAGAGGCAACACAAUUCUCAAUUAAUAAGAGAGAAUCUGCAAAGUUUACAGAGCAGAAUGAAGCAUAUGGCUGAUAAAAAGAGGUCUGACAGAGUCUUGGAAGUGGGAGAUUGGGUGUACUUGAAACUUCAAUCCUAUAGACAGACCUCCUUAGCAGUUAGAAAGCAGCUGAAGCUAUCUACUAGAUAUUAUGACUGUACAAGAUUACUGAGAAAGUAGGUCAGGUAGCAAACAAGUUACUGUUGCCUCCCGAUGCAGUAGUCCACCCAGUAUUUCAGGUAUCUUUACUCGAGAAAAAGGUAGGAGAAGAUAAGGUGGUGAGCCAGUAGUUGCUUGCCUUCAUUCAAGAUGAAGUUGUCAUUGCCCCUGAGAAAUUGCUCAAGACUAGAGUUAUUUUAAGAGACGACCAAAGGGUGAUGCAAGAAUAAUAGAUUGUAUCUGAAUGUAAAUUGGAGGGAAAAGUGGUUAGGAGGCUAUUAGCCAAGAUAUUCAGUAUAAAAGUGAGAGAGAAGACACUUGUAAGGCAUCAGAAGAAUUAUUCAAUAAAGAAUAUCUCUCCUCUCCCUCUCAUUCUUUUUCUCAUCUCUUUCUCUUCUCUCUUUCUCAUCCCCUUUCUUUCAGAAUGGUUUCUCAUCUCCAUUCUUUCUCUAGCUAAAGCUAACAGAGAUAUCUUUGAUUAUUAAUGAUAUUGUAUAGUUUUCACUUUACAAUUAAGUUUCUAUUUAUAUUUCUCAUGAUCUUAUAACUUUAUAAGUGCUUUCUACUGUUACAACUGACUGAGGAGAGUAGUUGUAAUUACUAUAGAAUCUUCUUAUUCUACCUCUGGACUAAUUUCCUCCGAACUCACUACCUCUGAAAGUCAUAUACGGUCAACAUAUCACUAUCUACACUACUCCUGGUCAACAUAUCACUAUCUUCACUACUUAGUCAUAACUCAUAACAUGAUAGACAAAGCUACUUAGCAGCCUUGAACCUGAUGCAGAUUGACAUAUGAUACCAUUUUAUCUAUAAGCUAGUGGCAGUAAUUCGACUUGAUUAGGAGAUGUGGGUUACAUGACUAACAUGUGUUAUCACAUUAACCAUCAUAUGAAAGAAGUAAGAGCAAAUAAUUACCUAAGCCCUUUCACAAACCACUUGUCCCCAUAUGUCGCCUCUUCAGUUUUCUUCAAAUCAGCCCAGCUGUACCCUGAAUGCAUGUUUAAUUUUAUUUCUUAUGGUCCAUCUUUAUUUUUCUAUUAUCUGGCAUUAUGAAUGAAGACAAUAAAAGAGGCAAAUUUAAAAAAUUAUGCUUUUAUUUCCACAUAGAAAGCAGAGUGGAUGAUCAUUUCUCUACAUAUGAUUGAAGGCUAGUGUCCACUUCAGUUGAUUUAUUUUGUUUGCUUGGAACCAAUAAAUUAUAGAAAUACAUCUCUGAACUAUUGGAAGCAGUUUUCAACUAAGUCAAGCAAUACAUGUUUUCUCUUUGAUUAAUUUUUCACUGGUUUUUAUUGUUCCUUUAACUGAAGCAACCAUGUACUUAUGUUAGACAAAACUUGUACAAUGAAAAUGUAAAAAGUUUGCUAAAUGAGAUGUUAAUUGCAGUCUUGGCAAUUUAGCGGAAGCUAUGAACAGAAUGGAGUGGCUUGACCUUCUAACAUGAG